rnacentral:rRNA from 1 species
AACGAACGCUGGCGGCAUGCCUAACACAUGCAAGUCGAACGAGACCUUCGGGUCUAGUGGCGCACGGGUGCGUAACGCGUGGGAACCUGCCCUUAGGUUCGGAAUAACUCCCCGAAAGGGGUGCUAAUACCGGAUAAUGUCUUCGGACCAAAGAUUUAUCGCCUUUGGAUGGGCCCGCGUUGGAUUAGCUAGUUGGUAGGGUAAAAGCCUACCAAGGCGACGAUCCAUAGCUGGUCUGAGAGGAUGAUCAGCCACACUGGGACUGAGACACGGCCCAGAAUCCUACGGGAGGCAGCAGUGGGGAAUAUUGGACAAUGGGCGAAAGCCUGAUCCAGCAAUGCCGCGUGAGUGAUGAAGGCCGUAGGGUUGUAAAGCUCUUUUAACCGGGAUGAUAAUGACAGUACCGGGAGAAUAAGCUCCGGCUAACUCCGUG